rnacentral:rRNA from 1 species
UCUACGGGAGGCAGCAGUAGGGAAUCUUCCGCAAUGGACGAAAGUCUGACGGAGCAACGCCGCGUGAGUGAUGAGGGUUUUCGGAUCGUAAAGCUCUGUUGUUAGGGAAGAACAAGUACCGUUCGAAUAGGGCGGUACCUUGACGGUACCUAACCAGAAAGCCACGGCUAACUAGGUGCCAGCAGCCGCGGUAAUA